ACCAUCUUCUGUUACAUUCUCAGUGUUGUCUUGGUAAUAAAAUACUAUCAAUGGCAGUGGCGCGGGAAGUUAGCCUGGGUAUACCCAUGCUGCCUUGCGCGCGAUUUCAUUUCGUGCUGCUAGACAUGUGCUAGCCCUCACUGUAGAUUGAGGCCUGGCGUUAGCCACAUGCGUUAGCCCCUGGCGUUAGCCACAUGCGUUAGCUAGGCUAGCGGGGAGUAGGGGUGCGGCAUGUGCUGCAGCAUCCCCUGGUGGCGAAGCUUUAAAACUGCGAUGACGAUAAAACGAUCGCUUAUAAUUUAUUUAUCUCUGGUUGUGGUUUCUGUUUUUAUUUUGUAUGUUAUGUUUGGGGUGUGGGACGAAGAGAGCGCUAAUUUUUCAAUUAUUUCAUUUAUCCUCAAUGUAUACCAAUCAGAUUUGUCUUCACGCGAUUGCGAUUCAGCCUACACAUAUCAUGCACGGCACGCACACUCAGCCAGACAUCCUCAAAUGACAAGUUAUUGAGUGGUGUGUGUAGACUACAGAGCCGGUGUAACAUAGUAGCCUAUCUUAAGAAUUCUAUGAACUCUACGUGGACCGUAACGCACCCCGCAGCCCCUGCCGAAAAUAUCGUCCUGUUAGUCUGAUCAAUGGAAGUAUUGGAUCUUGACUUGACUGUGGCCUGAAGUGGAAGGGAUCAGUUUUAACUGUCACUAAUCCUAUAAAUUACUUUCAUCCUCUCCGGCUGCCAAUUUGAUGCGCAGGCUGGCCCCAGAUCAAAAAAGUGGGGAGAUCGUGGAAACACAUGAACGCUACACUGCUACCACUGUCAUGACAUCUCGUGGCUCCGUGGAGGUGGUGAUCUUUGCUGUACGUCAGCGGGGUUGACGCUGCGACCGAGGCCCAGAGGUUGGAGCUAGAGGCCUUGACCCGUGGCUGAGGCCGGUCGGCCGCAAUGAGGGUACAUGUGGUGUUGCUCGUGCUGCUGUGCAGCUUGCAGGGCCUGUUCUUUCAGAGAUCCACAGCAGACGAGGAAGUCAGUGGUGAGGCGGAAUGGCUGCCCCAGCCCAAGCCCUGGGAGGACACGUACUGGUCUGGGACCGCCCCCCUGUGCCUCGGAGGCUGCAGGGGGCGCCACCAAGAGCUGAAGAGCGACCGCUGUGGGGACUCCAGCUGCUGCUGGGUGGGGUCCAAGUCCCUCUGCAGAGUGAACUGCGGCAGACCGGACGUGGACUACAACGGCGUGGUGACCGGUGACGACUGGUGGGUGGGCUCGCUGGUGAGGUACGAGUGCCGUGCCGGCUUCCUGCUGCUCGGAGACCCCACCAGAGUGUGCCAGUCCGACGGCCGUUGGACCCCAAAACCCUUCUGCGUGCGGAUGUGUCAGCGGGGACGCGUGGAGGUCAACGAGAGGGAGCUGAGCGGAAACUGCUCCACCACCUGCGCCAACAAGAGCUACUUUGGAAACCCCAAGCUAGGCUGUAGCCAUCUUGACAACUGUCAGAACAAGGAUACCGGCUGGAAGCGCUUCUUCUCCCAGUGUGUCCCCUGCGUCUGCGACUGCUCCAUAUCCUGUACAAACGCAGUCAAACUGGAGAGGAAGAGAAACUGA
ensembl:lncRNA